rnacentral:piRNA from 1 species
UGCUCUGGGAGUUUCUCUACAAGAUGCCUU